rnacentral:rRNA from 1 species
CAGCCGCCGCGGGAAUACGUAGGGUGCGAGCGUUAAUCGGAAUUACUGGGCGUAAAGCGUGCGCAGGCGGUUUUGUAAGACAGGCGUGAAAUCCCCGGGCUCAACCUGGGAAUGGCGCUUGUGACUGCAAAGCUAGAGUGCGGCAGAGGGGGAUGGAAUUCCGCGUGUAGCGGUGAAAUGCGUAGGUAUGCGGAGGAACACCGAUGGCGAAGGCAAUCCCCUGGGCCUGCACUGACGCUCAUGCACGAAAGCGUGGGGAGCAAACAGGAUUAGAUACCCGAGUAGUCCCUGUCUUUUAUAA